GAUGAAGAACGUAGCGAAAUGCGAUAAGUAAUGUGAAUUGCAGAAUUCAGUGAAUCAUCGAAUCUUUGAACGCACAUUGCGCCCGCCAGUAUUCUGGCGGGCAUGCCUGUUCGAGCGUCAUUUCAACCAUCAAGCCCCAGGCUUGUGUUGGGGACCUGCGGCUGCCGCAGGCCUUGAAAACCAGUGGCGGGCUCGCUGUCACACCGGGCGUAGUAGAUUUUAUCUCGCUCAGGGCGUGCUGCGGGUUCCGGCCGUUAAAAAGCCUUUUUUACCCAAGGUUGACCUCGGAUCAGGUAGGAAGACCCGCUGAACUUAAGCAUAUCAAUAAGCGGAGGA
rnacentral:misc_RNA from 1 species